rnacentral:rRNA from 1 species
GAUGAACGCUGGCGGCGUGCCUAAUACAUGCAAGUCGAGCGAACAGAUGAGGAGCUUGCUCCUCUGACGUUAGCGGCGGACGGGUGAGUAACACGUGGAUAACCUACCUAUAAGACUGGGAUAACUUCGGGAAACCGGAGCUAAUACCGGAUAAUAUAUUGAACCGCAUGGUUCAAUAGUGAAAGACGGUUUUGCUGUCACUUAUAGAUGGAUCCGCGCCGCAUUAGCUAGUUGGUAAGGUAACGGCUUACCAAGGCGACGAUGCGUAGCCGACCUGAGAGGGUGAUCGGCCACACUGGAACUGAGACACGGUCCAGACUCCUACGGGAGGCAGCAGUAGGGAAUCUUCCGCAAUGGGCGAAAGCCUGACGGAGCAACGCCGCGUGAGUGAUGAAGGUCUUCGGAUCGUAAAACUCUGUUAUUAGGGAAGAACAAAUGUGUAAGUAACUAUGCACGUCUUGACGGGACCUAAUCAGAAAGCCACGGCUAACUACGU